GAUGAACGCUGGCGGCGUGCCUAAUACAUGCAAGUCGAGCGAACAGACGAGGAGCUUGCUCCUUUGACGUUAGCGGCGGACGGGUGAGUAACACGUGGAUAACCUACCUAUAAGACUGGGAUAACUUCGGGAAACCGGAGCUAAUACCGGAUAAUAUAUUGAACCGCAUGGUUCAAUAGUGAAAGACGGUUUUGCUGUCACUUAUAGAUGGAUCCGCGCCGCAUUAGCUAGUUGGUAAGGUAACGGCUUACCAAGGCAACGAUGCGUAGCCGACCUGAGAGGGUGAUCGGCCACACUGGAACUGAGACACGGUCCAGACUCCUACGGCAGGCAGCAGUAGGGAAUCUUCCGCAAUGGGCGAAAGCCUGACGGAGCAACGCCGCGUGAGUGAUGAAGGUCUUCGGAUCGUAAAACUCUGUUAUUAGGGAAGAACAAAUGUGUAAGUAACUAUGCACGUCUUGACGGUACCUAAUCAGAAAGCCACGGCUAACUACGUG
rnacentral:rRNA from 1 species